GUCUUAUUGUCUACUGCUCCCUUAGCUGAUCUUUUGAUGUUUUUAUUAUUCUGCCCUUGUGUAUCAUUUGAUUGUGCUCUCUUUCUUUGCUUUCUUUCUCUUUCUAUGCGUUCUUCGUUGACUUCUCUUUCAAUUAUCAGUGCUUUGUUUACCACAUCUGCAUAAGUUGUCAAUUCAUAUGGAACCACUUAUUUUCGAAUCUCAGUUCUCAGUCCCAUCUCAAACUUGUGAACACGUUCUUGCUCACCAUCCACUAAUCUCGGAGUAAAUUUUGCUAACUCUGUAAAUUUUGCUUCAUAUUCUGUCACACUCAUACCCUUUUGCUUCAAAUAAAUAAACUCUUGUUCUUGUCAUUCUACGGGGAGGCAUGAUAACCUUGUAGUAGUAAAACCUUAUUAGAUUCAUUGAUCUAUUUGUUAGGAUGGGUUUAUUAUGAUGCUCAUACU
rnacentral:lncRNA from 1 species